CUCUCUCCCCCUCCCCUCCCCGGCGGAAGGCCCUGGCGCGCGCGCGUGCGCCGGAAGGCCUAGCUCGGCCGGGGUGGUUGCCACGACGUCGACGAAGCCUCGCUCUCCCAUGGCCGGGACUCGCUGGGUGCUGGGCGCGCUGCUCCGCGGCUGCGGCUGUCAUUACAGCACUUGCCGCCACACCGGCGCGGCUUGCCUGCCGCCGCUGAGGCCUACUUCCUCCACUCCGUCACCGGCGUCGCCCCCGGCCGGCGCUUUGGGCCUUUGGGGCCGCCGACGCCUCCUGCUCUUGCUCGGGGCAGCCACGCAGAGCCGCGGGGUCGCCAGCUCGGCCGGGCCGGUGCCCGGCUUCGGCUCUUGGCGGGGGUCCUUGCUAACCCCGCCUCUCGCGGGCCGAUGCUACAGCCAGGAUCCCGAGUCUUCUUAUCAAGAGGGAUAUCACUUUCCCCCAGAAUACGAAAUCUCUGCGGAAGAAGCAGAAGGGCAGAGGGAAGUGCAUCUGAUUCGGGCCCAAGGUUUGCCAUAUGACUGCACUGAGGAAGAUGUUCUCAACUUUUUUUCAGGGAGCAAGAUCCGAAACGGUGUGGAAGGCAUCCAUUUCCUCCUGUACAGAGAUGGCAAGCGCAGAGGAGAUGCGAUAGUUGAACUUGAAUCGGAACACGAUGUGAUGAACGCCUUGAACAAACACCGGAAAUACCUGGGCCAGCGCUAUGUGGAAGUUUUUGAAAUACGUAAUAAGGACGUUGAUACCCUAAUGAGGAGCCUGAAGUUCCGUUCAGCGCCUGGAAACAAUGACGGGGUGGUACGACUGCGAGGCCUGCCCUACCGUUGCACGGAAGUAGAUGUAACGGAGUUCUUUUCAGGUUUGACUAUACAGGACAUAGUAUUCGUCUUCGACCACGACGGAAGAAGGAAAACGGGAGAGGCAUUUGUACAGUUUGCCACACCGGAAAUGGCUAAUAAAGCUUUGUUGAAACAUAAGGAAGAAAUUGGGAACCGCUAUAUAGAAAUAUUCCCGAGCCAGAAAAGUGCAAUUCGAACACACAACGACUUUUUCCGGUAUAAGAAGAUGAUGGCGUCUACGGUGCCAAAACCGUGUUCUGAAAACAUUUUUGAAGAAAGCAAGUUGAGCGAGGUCUCGAAGCCCAGUCCGGUGUAUGAAAAUGAAACCAGAAGCAGUGAGCAGGCUUACAAGCAAGUAUUUGAAAAGACUCCGGAGGUGGCUGAAUCUGCAGGCUUCUCCGCCCCUUACUUUGUUCACCUGAGAGGAAUGCCUUUUCAAGCAACAGCGCAAGAUAUCAUCCAGUUUUUUGCUCCCUUAAAGCCUGUGAGGAUCACAAUGGAAUAUAAUUCAUGUGGCCAUGCGACCGGAGAAGCAGAUGUACAUUUUGAAACGCACACAGACGCAGUUGCCGCCAUGGCCAAGAACAACUUUCAAGUCCGAGGAGAGCUGGGAGGGCGGAGUUAAGCACAUCAUCAGUUUAGAGUCAUUGCAUUCCCACAAGUGCUCCAAGUCCCAACUCCUCCUGAACGCCGUUGACCCAUACAGAGCAUAGUUAUAUUGAAUUAUUUCUGAAUUCAUCACCAAGCAGAAAAUAGAGCAGCCUACGAUAGUGGUAUAAUUCCCAAAGUUUAGAUAAGCUAAGAUGCUUUUCAUCUGCACGUUCCCAGAGCCGGACUAUUAUUCCUGUCGCCCCCGAAUUGCCUUUCAAAGAAACUCCAGUGGCUGUGUCUGAAAUCCUUACAAAACGGUUGUGCGGGCUCUGUUUUACCUAAACCAACAUUAAAGUUGAACUCUACUUAAA